AUUUUCAAUCAUGUGAAUGACUAGUGUAGUAUGCGGAAGCAGCGCCAUUUAACAAAACAGUAUCCGGUUAUUCGGUAUUCGGACAUAUUCGGCCAUUUUUGUCGCGUUCGUCGUGGUGAGAGCUGGUUUUUUCUCGCGCUGCUGUAGGUGAACCCUCGGCAUGGUUAACGGAAGGAUCCCUUCGGUCUUCUCGAAGACCUAUGUCACGCCCAGAAGGCCGUACGAGAAAGCUCGUCUCGACCAGGAGUUGCGCAUCAUCGGAGAAUAUGGUCUCCGUAAUAAGCGCGAGGUGUGGAGGGUCAAGUAUACCUUGGCCAAAAUCCGCAAGGCCGCUCGUGAGUUGCUCACGUUGGAAGAGAAGGAUCCAAAGCGUCUCUUCGAAGGAAACGCUCUGCUGCGUCGUUUGGUAAGGAUUGGUGUGUUGAACGAAGCCCAUAUGAAGCUCGAUUACGUGUUGGGUCUAAAGAUCGAGGACUUUUUGGAACGACGCCUGCAGACCCAGGUGUUCAAACUGGGUCUGGCCAAGUCCAUCCAUCAUGCCCGCGUACUCAUUCGCCAACGGCACAUUCGGUACCAAGACGAUGGAACCUGAUUAACCCGACCUGGUUAAGUCAAGAAUUCAAUUGUUAACUUAACGAAAAUUUUAUUCGCACAGGCCACUUAGGUGCCGUUCAUCGGCACUUAACGCCUGUUGAGCCUGGCGAGAUUCUUCAUUUUUUCUCAUCGAGAGAAAGAGGGGGAUAGAGUUUUUCGCGUUCGCAAACAGGUGGUGAACAUCCCGUCGUUCAUUGUCCGAUUAGACUCGCAGAAGCACAUCGACUUUUCGCUCAAAUCGCCCUUCGGCGGUGGCAGACCUGGUCGCGUCAAGAGGAAGAAUCUGAGAAAG